CCCAGAGCGGGUGCGCGGCGGGAGCGCGGAGGGGGCGGCCGCCGCCAGCGCCGCCGCCGCGCAGGAGCAGGAGGAGGAGAAAGGGUGCGCAGCCCGGAGGCGGGGUGCGCCGGUGGGGUGCAGCGGAAGAGGGGGUCCAGGGGGGAGAACUUCGUAGCAGUCAUCCUUUUUAGGAAAAGAGGGAAAAAAUAAAACCCUCCCCCACCGCCGCCUUCUCCCCACCCCGCCGCCGCACCACACACAGCGCGGGCUUCUCGCGCUCGGCACCGGCGGGCCGGGCGCGUCCUGCCUUCAUUUAUCAAGCAGCUUUUCGGAAAAUGCAUUUGCUGGUCGGAGUUUAAUCCGAAGAGGAUUCCUGCCCCCGUGCCCGGCUCGUCCACCGGCCGCCCGUCCCUGUCCGUCUCCCGUGGAGGCGUGAAGCGGUCCCGCGGACAGAGAUCCAUGUCUGUGCCCGCGCGUGUGCGUGCGUGUGUAAAUUGCCGAGAGGGGGGAAAUCGCAGGACUUCUGCCAGUGCCGGACUGAAAAUUGUAAUUCAUCUGCCGCCGCUGCCUUUUUUUCCUCGUGCUCUUGAGCUCUCCGGUCGGGAUUCCUGCGGAUUGACAUUUCUGUGAAGGAGAAGUCUGGAAUCCAACUGGAAAUUCUCCUCAUUUGUCCCCACCGCACCCCACCCCCGACUCCUGAUUCAUUUGGAAGUUUCAGAGCAGCUAUACCUGGAGAGUUCUGGAGAUCGACGGAAUCUUUGCCUUACGCAUUUGUUUUGUUUUCACAAAAAAGGAGACUUGACAGAGGAUCAUGCUGUCCUUAAAAAAUACAACAUCACAGAGGAAGCAGACUGAUAUUAACAAUAAUUAAUAAUAAUGUGCCUCAUGCAAUAAAGAUCCGAAAGGAAUUUAAGUAAAAAUUUCCUGCAUCUCAUGCCAAGAGGGAAACACCAGAAUCAAGUGUUCCGCGUGACUGAAGACACCCCCUCAUCCAAGAAUGCGAAGCACAUCCAAUAAAAUAGCUGGAUUAUAA